CUUGAGCUUGACUUAGGACAGCCCAGGGGAUCUGUCAAUUGGUUUUUAUUUUUCACUUGCUAGCACAGGUUGGUCAUAGGCCAUCCUCCUCAACACUUAAUCCUAAAGUAGGGGUGUAUACAUUCCUGGUUGCUAAUAUUUUAAAGACUAAUCAGGGUGGAGAAAAUCUAAAAUUCACAAUAUUGAUGUGAUGAGGUACACCUAUAAUUAUGAGAAAUCAUGAACAAGGACUUAGAAAAAGCUGUCAAACUUGAAAAGCUAGGACAUCCCCAACCACCACUCACUGGAGAGUGGACUCCAAGAAGAGAGUCAUUCCAAGAAGGAAGUUGGCUUCAGCUCAAGUCAUUGUCUUGACCUACCUCUUAAAGGGAACUUGGGUGAGUGGAUAGCUGGUUUCCUUUUCCUGUCUUCUGGAGAUAGUUUAAUUCUGGUUGAAGGUUAACAAGUCCUGACUGAGUUGAGCACUGGAGCAACAUUUAGUUAGAUAGGUUAAUAUCUUC
rnacentral:lncRNA from 1 species